AAGUCGAGCGAACGGACGAGAAGCUUGCUUUUCUGAUGUUAGCGGCGGACGGGUGAGUAACACGUGGAUAACCUACCUAUAAGACUGGGAUAACUUCGGGAAACCGGAGCUAAUACCGGAUAAUAUUUUGAACCGCAUGGUUCAAAAGUGAAAGACGGUCUUGCUGUCACUUAUAGAUGGAUCCGCGCUGCAUUAGCUAGUUGGUAAGGUAACGGCUUACCAAGGCAACGAUGCAUAGCCGACCUGAGAGGGUGAUCGGCCACACUGGAACUGAGACACGGUCCAGACUCCUACGGGAGGCAGCAGUAGGGAAUCUUCCGCAAUGGGCGAAAGCCUGACGGAGCAACGCCGCGUGAGUGAUGAAGGUCUUCGGAUCGUAAAACUCUGUUAUUAGGGAAGAACAUAUGUGUAAGUAACUGUGCACAUCUUGACGGUACCUAAUCAGAAAGCCACGGCUAACUACGUGCCAGCAGCCGCGGUAAUACGUAGGUGGCAAGCGUUAUCCGGAAUUAUUGGGCGUAAAGCGCGCGUAGGCGGUUUUUUAAGUCUGAUGUGAAAGCCCACGGCUCAACCGUGGAGGGUCAUUGGAAACUGGAAAACUUGAGUGCAGAAGAGGAAAGUGGAAUUCCAUGUGUAGCGGUGAAAUGCGCAGAGAUAUGGAGGAACACCAGUGGCGAAGGCGACUUUCUGGUCUGUAACUGACGCUGAUGUGCGAAAGCGU
rnacentral:rRNA from 1 species